rnacentral:rRNA from 1 species
GGAUCCAGACUUUGAUUCUGGCUCACGAUGAACGCUAGCUACAGGCUUAACACAUGCAAGUCGAGGGGCAGCGGGAUUGAAGCUUGCUUCAAUUGCCGGCGACCGGCGCACGGGUGAGUAACGCGUAUCCAACCUUCCGUACACUCAGGGAUAGCCUUUCGAAAGAAAGAUUAAUACCUGAUAGUAUCUUAAGCACACAUGUAAUUAAGAUUAAAGAUUUAUCGGUGUACGAUGGGGAUGCGUUCCAUUAGGUAGUAGGCGGGGUAACGGCCCACCUAGCCAACGAUGGAUAGGGGUUCUGAGAGGAAGGUCCCCCACAUUGGAACUGAGACACGGUCCAAACUCCUACGGGAGGCAGCAGUGAGGAAUAUUGGUCAAUGGACGAGAGUCUGAACCAGCCAAGUAGCGUGAAGGAUGAAGGUCCUACGGAUUGUAAACUUCUUUUAUAAGGGAAUAAACCCUCCCACGUGUGGGAGCUUGUAUGUACCUUAUGAAUAAGCAUCGGCUAACUCCGUGCCAGCAGCCGCGGUAAUACGGAGGAUGCGAGCGUUAUCCGGAUUUAUUGGGUUUAAAGGGAGCGCAGACGGGUCGUUAAGUCAGCUGUGAAAGUUUGGGGCUCAACCUUAAAAUUGCAGUUGAUACUGGCGUCCUUGAGUGCGGUUGAGGUGUGCGGAAUUCGUGGUGUAGCGGUGAAAUGCUUAGAUAUCACGAAGAACUCCGAUUGCGAAGGCAGCACACUAAUCCGUAACUGACGUUCAUGCUCGAAAGUGUGGGUAUCAAACAGGAUUAGAUACCCUGGUAGUCCACACGGUAAACGAUGGAUACUCGCUGUUGGCGAUAUACUGUCAGCGGCUUAGCGAAAGCGUUAAGUAUCCCACCUGGGGAGUACGCCGGCAACGGUGCAACU